UGGAAAAUUCUAGUAUUCAUGUCCCGCUCCUAAUUCCCUCCAUGGUUAAAAGGCAGACCGCCAUUUUUUUUGGUGAAAUCAAAUUGGCUCAAAAGGAACAGAACAGAGAACUCUUCUUUUCAUCCUCACCGCCACUUCUCCAACCCUCUCUCCUUCUCUCCUCAACCCGAUGAUCACUGGAGCACCACUGUCAAACCUUUUCACCAACAUUCCUUAAACACCAAAUUUUUCUUAUAUGAAUCAACCGUAUAUAAACCUCUAACCAAAUACCAAGGCUUUAUCUUCUAACAAAUCAGAUCUGAUGUAUGAUAUAUUUCGGAGGUCAAUCAGGUGAUAACGUACACAAUCAUUACAGCAUCCUCGGAAGCAGUACUGUAUGUGUGGCUAUUGAAUUUAAGGAUAUGGGCGAUGAAGGUCCAUCAACUAUAUUCUGAUAAAAAUAAAGUGCACUAACGAGGUUAAAAUUCUUUAAAGCCGUUAAACUGAAAAAAAAAAACACUCUUCCCUUACCUUUUUCUUCAUUUGUAAAGAGAAUAAGAUUGGACUGGAACUUUUACAGGUGCGUCUCAAAUCCAAUUUCCCAUUAAUUCUUUUUAUUAGAAAUUGUAACUAAUUUGGAAGGAUGGCGGUGAUAUCGGGAAUAGGGAUGUGUUCUACAUGAUCUGUAUUUUUUUUAGUAGGGGUUUCUUCUUUGCUUUUGAUAUGUUUUUUGUGGGAUGAUGGAACAUGGCACACCAGGUGUUCGACAUAUUGUCCAUGAGGUUCUUUUGGCGCAUUAGACAUCCAAUUUCAUUUUCUUCUCUUUCUAUACAGGAGAUUCAACCAAGUCUUUGAUUGUUUAAGAUUUUUAAGUUUAUGUUCUUUUAUAUAUGUAGUAUUAAACUAAACUGUAGAUACACAUACCCCCACCUGAUGGAAAUAUGUUGACUAACGUCUUAGAUUGGAUUAACAUAUAAUUUUACAAAGACAAUGUAAUUUUUCAGGAUGUGUGUAUGUUGCUUGUUCUAGUGUUGUGACCAAUAGUUAAUUCAUAGAUGCAAUAUGAUGAAGAUGACAAUGAAAAAGAUUAUGGUCUAAGAGGGAAAGCUUGGGAGCUUGUUGAUCCCAAAAGUACCCAAACAUCCGUCUCAGUUUAGGUGAUUGUAAAACUUUUCAUUCUAAAAAAUAGAGUCCACACAUGACAGAAAUGUACUUUGUUAAUUCUAAAUACAAACAUAGAAUUUACAUUAUGAAAUUAAUUUGGUUGUUAUUGCAGUGUGGAUGAAGUACCAGUAUUGACAAGCAUGGCAAUCAGGUAAUAAAUUGUAAGCAAUUAAAUAUUAUUGUGGUUUGAAAUUGAUAUAUGAUUAUCAUAGUUUUUCGUAAUAAGAACAAUAUCAAUUUUAUUUAUAAAGACAAAAAUAAAAACAAGAAAAUAGAUAGGAAAUGAUUGAACUUUUAUUUUGUAAAGACAUCAUGCAUAAUUCUUAGAGCAUUACUGGUUAGCUUAUCAAAGGCCUUAUGUUUUGUACAUUAGCUUUUCUAAAAAAAAAAUUUUAAAAUUAAAUAAUUGAUGUCCAUGUAUAUAAAAUAUUUUAUAAAUCUUUUUCUUACAUUUCAAUGGAGUUAAAUACUUGGGGUAGAGUAUCUUUGUCCUCCUCACGUUUGAGUAACUUGGCAUGGUUUUAAAUAGUUGAUGUUCAUCUAAAUAAAAUGUUUUAUAUAUUAAGAAACCUAUUGUUCUGUGUUUUGAUUUGACUGUUAAACCUCACUAAAUUUGUCUAGACAUUAUAUUAUUACUAAUAUUCAAUCAAAUUAAAUAUAUUCCAAUAGUCGUUGAUUACUUUUAUCCAUUAUUUUAAUCAUGGGUAAAUGGCACAAAAAACACUAUUUUUACACAUAAAUUCGAUUUUGACACCGUGUUAUUUUUUGUGUCAAUUUUGACACUGUGUUUUCCAAUUCGUUACAAUUCUGACCACAUGACCGGUUAAUCAGGUUACAUGCUGACGUGGCAUGAUGAUGGUCAGUUUUGAUGACGUGGCAUGCUGACAUGAUAUGCUGACGUGUCAAAAUUGAAUUUUUUUCUCACAAAAAACACUAAGUUUUUUUUUUUUUUUUCGAUUUUGACACUAUGUUUAAUUUUUUCUUUCAACUUUGACACUAUGUUUUUUUGUUCCAAAUCGAACAUCAUUUUUCCAAUUUUGUUCAAUGUUGACAAUUUUCUAUUUGAAACCGUAAAAAUAUUUUUUUAAUACAUUUAAACCGUAUAAAUAUGUUUUUUUUUUCAUUUAAAAACCAUAGUUUUGUAUAAAUACAUUUUUUUUUACACUCAAACCAUAUUUUUAUGUAUAAAUAUGUAUUAACUAUAUAAAAAUUGUAUUUUAUAUUAAUAUGCAACUUUAAAAUGUGUUUGAAGGUUUAUAGGCGUGUAGUUGAUCAAAAUUUGGAUAUCAAGUUUGCAACCCAUCAAAUUUUUACAUCUUAUUAGAAGCUUAUGGUUAGUUUGAUUCUCAUGAUAUAACUAAUGCUUUGAAUGUAAGAAAAAAAAAACACCUUGUAUUUAAAUAAAAAUGUGGUUUUUAAACGAAAAGAAUAUGUUAUACGGUUUAAAAUGUAAUAAAAAAAAUAUAUUUGUACGGUUUCAAAUGAAAAAUAGACAAAAUUGAACAAAAUUCGAUAAAUGAUGUUCGAUUGGAACAAAAAAAACAUAGUGUCAAAAUUGAAAUAAAAAAUUAAACUUAGUGUCAAAAUCAAAAAAAAGUGAAAACUUAGUGUUUUUUGUGGAAAAAAAUCAAUUUUGACACGUCAGCAUGCCACGUCAUCAAAACUGACACGUCAUCAUGCCACGUCAGCAUGUAACCUGGUUAACCGGUCAAGUGGUCAGAAUUGUAACGAAUUGGAUAACACAGUGUCAAAAUUGACACAAAAAAUAACACGGUGUCAAAAUCGAAUUUCUGUGUAAAAAUAGUGUUUUUUGUGCCAUUUACCCUUUAAUCAUAUAUAAAACUUAUAAAUUGGAUUUUUAUGUUUUAUCAAUUUUCAAAUAUUGAAGUGUUUUUUUGCUGAUUUUGUAUUCUUGAUUUGAUUUGACUUUUGUGAUUUCGUACAUGUUUAUAGAGUUUUCCCUUUUAAACAUGCUACACAACACUGUGCAACUCGCGAAGCGUAGAUAUGAGGCAAUGUUAACCAUCCGAACUCUUUGCGUAGAAGAAAAACUUAAGACGAACAAUUAUACAAAGUUUGAGGUUGAUAGUUCUUCUUUCCCAACAAGUAUUUAGUUUAGUAGGAUUAUGUUUUGAGUACUAGCACUAACAUGUAUACUUCUUACACAUCUUUGAAGAUAUUUGUAUUUUAAAUAUUAAGAAUAUUGUUGACAGAUAAGUUUGAAUUGAAGUAAUGAUAUUGUAUUUUUUGUUUA